GACGAACGCUGGCGGCGUGCUUAACACAUGCAAGUCGAACGCUGAAGCUCAGCUUUUGUUGGGUGGAUGAGUGGCGAACGGGUGAGUAACACGUGAGUAACCUGCCCCCUUCUUUGGGAUAACGCCCGGAAACGGGUGCUAAUACUGGAUAUUCACUGGUCUUCGCAUGGGGGUUGGUGGAAAGGGUUUUUCUGGUGGGGGAUGGGCUCGCGGCCUAUCAGCUUGUUGGUGGGGUGAUGGCCUACCAAGGCUUUGACGGGUAGCCGGCCUGAGAGGGUGACCGGUCACAUUGGGACUGAGAUACGGCCCAGACUCCUACGGGAGGCAGCAGUGGGGAAUAUUGCACAAUGGGCGCAAGCCUGCUGCAGCGACGCCGCGUGAGGGAUGGAGGCCUUCGGGUUGUGAACCUCUUUCGCUCAUGGUCAAGCCGCAACAAUGGUUGUGGUGAGGGUAGUGGGUAAAGAAGCGCCGGCUACCUACGUG
rnacentral:rRNA from 1 species